rnacentral:rRNA from 1 species
UACAGAGGUCUCAAGCGUUGUUCGGAUUCAUUGGGCGUAAAGGGUGUGUAGGUGGCGCCGUAAGUCGGGGUGUGAAAUUUCGGAGCUUAACUCCGAAACUGCAUUCGAUACUGCGGUGCUUGAGGACUGGAGAGGAGACUGGAAUUCAUGGUGUAGCAGUGAAAUGCGUAGAGAUCAUGAGGAAGACCAGUGGCGAAGGCGGGUCUCUGGACAGUUCCUGACACUGAGACACGAAGGCCAGGGGAGCAAACGGGG